AACUACCCAAGAGUAAGGCAGAGCUGUUGGGCUCCAGACUACAGCAGUGGAAUCUCUUGGCAGCUUUGCAAGCAGCGCAUGCCUGCCCACAAGCUUUGCAAGCAGCGCAUGCCUGCCCACAAGCUUCAGAUGCUAUGUUACAUCAGUUGAAAAGGUAAAAUGAAGAAGCGGCUGGUUCACUCUUUCAGGUUCCUUAUUUGAGUUCUCGUUUGGAUCCAUUUUCCAACAGGAUCCCCGCAGUCCCUCUUCACGUUCCUGCCCUGGUCUCCUAUUUUUUUGAGUGGAUAGUAUAUUUUAUUCCCUUUUCUAUUUCAAUUGUAAUUUCUCAUCUAUUAACUGAAAUCUGAGUUUAAUACAAAGUAUGUUAAGGCCUAAAUUUAAAAUAAUCUCAAACGUUUUAAUAAAUAGACUGAAUCCAUAAGUCUCUAUCAAAAACUUUUAAAGGCUGCUUUCCUAUGUAAAGAAAGGAACAGGGGAAAAUCUUGCUUCUGAGGUCAAGCUUUAUAGAUAUGGCAGAAUAGGUUGUGUACUGUAUUAAGGACUUGUUUUGUUUAAUAAAAAUUUAAAUUAUA